AAAAUGUUAGCCGUUUUCCUGCGUGACGUUGGUGGGCAAGCAGACUUUCGGCGGCUAAUUAGCUUCAGUCUGGCUCCUUAGCUUAAAGCCACCGACGUCUUGCUAACAAGCGCGACCAAGAAAUGGAUUUACGAGCCUCAAAAGGUUCGCUUUGGUUCCGUUCGGGACGCUUGCCAAACACCCGUCCCAUCCCCUUGCGUCAUGUUUUUUUUUUUUUUUUUACCCCCCCUGUUUGCGUCUCUGCUAAUCGUGUCGUCCAUUUGCUUUGUUUUACUCUGAUGUCCGCAGCUCGGUCGGCGUUUUCAAAAUCCCUCAUUUUAAACGGGAUAAAUAAAAGCUCGAUGAAUAAUUUAUUCAUGGGUAGCUUUUGUUGCUGUUUAUCAAAAAGAAGGACGAACCCGAAAAUUUUAAUUUCAAUCGUUCACCCUACAAACAUACUAAGAUGACAGAAAGCUUCCUUUCCUGUCAACCAAUCAGCGUUCACCUGCUUGGUUCACCCAAUCCAAGAGUUGCCCGUAGGCGGAAGUUCACGUGACCGAUCGGCAACAUGGACUCGGGCGAGGAGGAAGUGUUGCAAAGUUUGUCACGGGUCUCUUCAUGAAAACGCUUAAAGUCAUCAAUCAUCCGGCGGGUCCGUUUUUUAACCAACCUGAACCAAGCCCGUCAGGUGCUCCAGGACGCCCUCCGUGGGGAGCUGCAGCAGGUGGUUGUUCCUCAGGUUGAGGCGAGCCAGGUUGACGGCGGAAAACACACCCAGAGGAAGACUCCGGAGGAGGUUGGCGUUCAGGAACAGGAGCUGGAGCGACGGCAUGGCGUCCAAGGUUCCCCGUUCCAUCUCUCGGAUCUCGUUGUACUCGAAGUAAAGGUACCUGAAGCCGGAGGGCGAGAGGGGCCUGAGAGAAGCGUCCUGCGAACGGGCGUUCGUCGCAAUCGGCGCCCGUGUGCGGGUGUUUGAGCCCCGAUUAAACUCAUUACCUGUUUCAACGGAGAUUUAUGGAGAAUGAAAGAGUCACAGAAAGGUAUAGACGUGGGAACCUAUAGAAAGUAAGAAAAAUAUACUGGAUGAUUUGCCCUGGAGCCCCAAGAGAACAGCAAGCUCUCCAAAAUGUACUGAACAGUUGGACGUGUGAGUUGAAAGGUUUAAAGAAGAAUUUUGUUACCGCCACCGUCCACGUUUCACACGGAUGUUUAUUGCAGACGCACCCACCACAAGGCCACAAGUGGAAAACAUUGCCAAAAACGACAAAGGGGAGUCUGUUACAAGGAGCCCGGUUGAUUGGUUUCCCAAAGCCUAAAACACAGUUGACGAAGUGUCUACGAUGGAUUAAGGCUAGCGGAAGACCCGACGUACGACUAAAUGUGGGCAAUAUCAACAAAAGACAAGGCCGUAUGUUCCAAGAUCAAAAAACUCCACAGUCAGCUCUCAUAGAUGUUUCGAUACCCAUGGGCGGCGCCAAGAGCCCCAAGGGUCCCCCCUCCCCCCACUUCCGUUGGCAACAAUCGUAGGAGAUAGUUGGUGUCGUAAGUCACCUUGUCUGUUACUUUUGAUUCAUGGUCAUGCAUAAUAAUGCUUAAUUCUUACAUCCCAACUCCCCUCAGCUCAUCAAUACGGCACUAAUAUUAGUCAGUCUACACAAGGGUGAGUGAGUAUACAGUAUGAUUGUGACUCCUUUUGUGAUGUCAAUCCAUUUCUAUAAUUUAUAUAUCAUUUAAAGAUGAAAAUACUCUGAAAUGUUGUUGUUUUUUUUUUACCUGGAUUUAAAAACAAUCACACUUGGGGCUGA